rnacentral:rRNA from 1 species
UACAUGCAGUCGAGCGGACAGAUGGGAGCUUGCUCCCUGAUGUUAGCGGCGGACGGGUGAGUAACACGUGGGUAACCUGCCUGUAAGACUGGGAUAACUCCGGGAAACCGGGGCUAAUACCGGAUGGUUGUUUGAACCGCAUGGUUCAAACAUAAAAGGUGGCUUCGGCUACCACUUACAGAUGGACCCGCGGCGCAUUAGCUAGUUGGUGAGGUAACGGCUCACCAAGGCAACGAUGCGUAGCCGACCUGAGAGGGUGAUCGGCCACACUGGGACUGAGACACGGCCCAGACUCCUACGGGAGGCAGCAGUAGGGAAUCUUCCGCAAUGGACGAAAGUCUGACGGAGCAACGCCGCGUGAGUGAUGAAGGUUUUCGGAUCGUAAAGCUCUGUUGUUAGGGAAGAACAAGUACCGUUCGAAUAGGGCGGUACCUUGACGGUACCUAACCAGAAAGCCACGGCUAACUACGUGCCAGCAGCCGCGGUAAUACGUAGGUGGCUAGCGUUGUCCGGAAUUAUUGGGCGUAAAGGGCUCGCAGGCGGUUUCUUAAGUCUGAUGUGAAAGCCCCCGGCUCAACCGGGGAGGGUCAUUGGAAACUGGGGAACUUGAGUGCAGAAGAGGAGAGUGGAAUUCCACGUGUAGCGGUGAAAUGCGUAGAGAUGUGGAGGAACACCAGUGGCGAAGGCGACUCUCUGGUCUGUAACUGACGCUGAGGAGCGAAAGCGUGGGGAGCGAACAGGAUUAGAUACCCUGGUAGUCCACGCCGUAAACGAUGAGUGCUAAGUGUUAGGGGGUUUCCGCCCCUUAGUGCUGCAGCUAACGCAUUAAGCACUCCGCCUGGGGAGUACGGUCGCAAGACUGAAACUCAAAGGAAUUGACGGGGGCCCGCACAAGCGGUGGAGCAUGUGGUUUAAUUCGAAGCAACGCGAAGAACCUUACCAGGUCUUGACAUCCUCUGACAAUCCUAGAGAUAGGACGUCCCCUUCGGGGGCAGAGUGACAGGUGGUGCAUGGUUGUCGUCAGCUCGUGUCGUGAGAUGUUGGGUUAAGUCCCGCAACGAGCGCAACCCUUGAUCUUAGUUGCCAGCAUUCAGUUGGGCACUCUAAGGUGACUGCCGGUGACAAACCGGAGGAAGGUGGGGAUGACGUCAAAUCAUCAUGCCCCUUAUGACCUGGGCUACACACGUGCUACAAUGGACAGAACAAAGGGCAGCGAAACCGCGAGGUUAAGCCAAUCCCACAAAUCUGUUCUCAGUUCGGAUCGCAGUCUGCAACUCGACUGCGUGAAGCUGGAAUCGCUAGUAAUCGCGGAUCAGCAUGC